UACGAAGGGGGCUAGCGUUGCUCGGAAUCACUGGGCGUAAAGGGUGCGUAGGCGGGUCUUUUAAGUCAGGGGUGAAAUCCUGGAGCUCAACUCCAGAACUGCCUUUGAUACUGAAGAUCUUGAGUUCGGGAGAGGUGAGUGGAACUGCGAGUGUAGAGGUGAAAUUCGUAGAUAUUGGAAGGAAACACCAGUGGCGAAGGGCGGCUCACUGGUCCGGUACUGGACGCUGAGGUGGCGAAAAGCGUGG
rnacentral:rRNA from 1 species